UGAUGAUGAUGAUGAUGAUGAUGAUGAUGAUGAUGUACAUUUGAAAUGUAUUGUAUGUCAGAAGCUGAAUAAGGCUGCAGUUUCUUCUGACAUAAAAUGAAUUACGGUGUAAGUGGUACCAAGCAUCCUCCUAACUCAACACGAAGACAAUCGAACUCUGUGAAGGAAUAUUUCUAUGAUAUUCCCAAAAGUUUGUCUCAUAAUGUUAAUAUCAG